UACGUAGGGAGCAAGCGUUGUCCGGAAUCAUUGGGCGUAAAACGCGCGUAGGUGGCCAUUUAAGUCCGCUGUGAAAGUCAAAGGCUCAACCUUUGAAAGCCGGUGGAUACUGGAUGGCUAGAGUACGGAAGAGGCGAGUGGAAUUCCUGGUGUAGCGGUGGAAUGCGCAGAUAUCAGGAGGAACACCAAUAGCGAAGGCAGCUCGCUGGGACGUUACUGACACUGAGGCGCGAAAGCGUGGGGAGCGAACAGG
rnacentral:rRNA from 1 species